rnacentral:sRNA from 1 species
AAGUCGUAACAAGGUCUCCGUAGGUGAACCUGCGGAGGGAUCAUUAAUGAACGGCCUCGGCCUUCAACCUUGUAAACCUGUGGAAGCAAGACGUGCUUCGGUGCUUCGGCGCCGCAUUUAUGCAGCAAGGAGUUUGUCUGAACAAAAAGCAAGAAUUAAAACUUUCAACAAAGGAUCUCUUGGCUCUCGCAUCGAUGAAGAACGCAGCGAAGCGCGAAAUGUAGUGUGAAUCGCAGAACAUUGUGAAUCAUCGAAUCUUUGAACGCACAUUGCGCCUCUCUUUACCGAGAGGCAUGCCUGUCUGAGCGUCAUUUAAACCAUAGCCCCGAAAGGGUCUGUCUUGGGCUUCGCCGGUCGGCGUCGCCUCGAAGCGAUCGGUCUAAAGAGCGGACGAGGUCCACUGGGACUUACCGUUUUGCGACCUUAAACCUCCGACUUGACCUCAGAUCAGGUAGGGCUACCGCCUGAACUUAA